CUGUGCUGCCGGAAGGGGUGGAGCCUGGAUGCACCUCUCCUAGACCCCAUUUAAGAGCUGACUGCCAAUAGGGAAGGAUCUUUUUCUGGUGAUCUCUCUUCUCGACUUUUUAGUAUGAGUCCAGGACAUGGGUGGAAAGGCAGGGCCAACCCAGGGGAGCUCAGUGUAAUUGUAUCUGGGUGACCAGAAGGGACGAAACUUGGCUCCAUUCCUUCCCAGGCCUCGUUCAAGGGCUAGCAGUGGAGGCAAGGCUACUUAUUUGAAGCUCCUUGCCUAAUUGAUGCCUUCUAAGGAGAGGAGAAACUUUGUGGCAUGUGUUCAAGAAGCAUAAGCUUUCCAUGGAGUAAAACUGACUGAAAGUAAAAGCAUAUGUGUUCCUAUAUUCUCUAGAUACUAUACAUACAACUGGAUUUGUAACUAUUGCUUAAGCAUACUGGCAGAUGCUGCACACUUACCCUAAUGACACAACAUUCAAGACUGGCAUAUGCUCUUUGCUAAAAACUUCAUGCUGCCUUUACUACUUGCAACUGUCCUGUCAGUGUGGCUGUGAUUGAGUUUGUGUUGUGUCUCUUACUGUUUUAUCUUGAAGUAUUUCUUGGUAGCUUAGUAUGCCUUCAGAACAAAGAGGGUUUCUAGAAGGAUUAGGGAGAGCUUGUGAUAAGCCAUCUUUAUGUUUCCAUCUCUUCUAACUGUGUGAUAGGACAGCCUAUCUAAUGAUUUAGAGAUAUCAAUAUAAAAGGACAGUUGCCUUGUAUUCCUUAUAACUAUUACAGGAGAAAAAUAAUUGUGGAGUGUUUUUUUUUAAUGCUUAAAGCAAUGUUAGAAAGAAGUGAGACAGCUCUUAUCACUAUCUGCAAUAGACACUGUGGUAGAGGCUUGCCCCUUAAUGACCUGCUUAUGAUGAAGGUGCUUGUGUUAGCUGGCAGCUCCUGUGCUUCUGACAUGGAACAACUUAAGCAGAAGCACCCUCUCAAUUUCUGCUAGAGUCAUCUAGGCACUUAGACUGAAUUUCCAAGCUGGCCUCUGUUCUGCCAUCAUAGGCAGAUGGUGAAUGCCCCCUAUGUGUGAGCCUACCCAGGAUCUGUGGCAGGACAUGGAAGCUGUUUCCUGAAUGAAUGGAGAAACCAACAGUAUGAAGCUAAGCACUUGCUCAGUCACUACUCAAGUGGUGAUGUGAGUAACCCUCACAGAGGCUCCAGGGCAGCCUCACACAGACCAUGGCUCCUGCAGACCUGUGGGUGACUCAUGGAGGAAAGAGGACCUGACAGAUAGCUGCUCUCACGCUGCCACCAGGAGAAACAUACCCUGAGGACCAUCAGUAUUUUUUGUUAAGACAGCAACAUUCAUGGCUUUGUCAUCUGAAAUCCAGGAAAAAAAACUCUACCUCCAGUGUGGUAUUAGAAAGUGGUGUUCUUUUAUCCCUCAGGGCUUGUACUGAGCAACUUCUCAAGCAAGUAUGCCCUCUCAGAGUUCAGGUUCUAAGUUUCAACAGUUAACACACACACAUAUAUAUAUAUAUAUACAGUACAUUGGCAUACAUAUUCUCUUUCAGGGACUCAUAAAUUAAUAUCUCUUUGGGUAUGCUCAGUGGUAUCUAGGAUUUUCACCGUUGGCUUCAUCACUGAGACUUUUGAUUCCCUUUCAGCCAGUUUGGAAAAUUUGUUUCUUAUUAAGUCAUAGAGAGUACAAUGCAUGUGGAACCUGAGGAAGAUGGCCCUGGCAACUUUUGAUGCAAAAGAUACAAAUAUUCUGUUGUGACUCCAGUGCUUCUUGUGAGGCAAAACCAUUGAAGCAGAAGAUAACAGUAUUCUGCUGCAUCCCCAGUGCAGAAUUAUUGGGGAAAACAACACCUUUUGCUGACUGAAGUUGAAAUGGGAAGUUUUUAGCUUGCCACCGGACACAUAAGAGUCGCAGCCGCACAAGCUGGGCUGCUCGCUUCCCAAUGGCGAGCCGCGGCCUCCCGCCCUCCCGC